ensembl:lncRNA
GUUAGCAUUAAAACGAUGCGCGAGUGCACAGCUGCUGCACCUCCCUGUGAAGGAACAGGGCACUGUCACAAGGAGUCUGUGUGGGACAAAGACAAAGCAGAGGAUAAAAGGAAAGCUGAACUGUGCUGGAAAAAGACCAUGGCUCAAACAUUACAGAGCCAGAGUCAUUUUAUCAAUAAGUACAUAGAUCUGCUCACGCAGGAUUCAGAGGAUCUGGACGCCUCAGCCUCUACAUCAGCAGAGCAUAGAGAGGAUCCUAGGCCAUUUUUAGCAAUUUCCUGGUGAGUAAAAAAAGAUGAAUCCAUUUAUUCAACAUUGAUUAUUUUAACAAAUUCAGAGGGACCUUAACAUAAAAUUAAGGUUAUAGUGAACUUGUAACCAUCCGUCUCUGCUUGGUACAGCCCCAGUUCAUG